GACUUUAGAUUGCGGAGUGUUUAACACGAAAGAUAAUUUCUUUUUUUUUUGUCGUCGUCUGCGAUUGGUGCGACGGCGUUGGGGGCGGGUUUUAGGAUAGGGAUUAGGGAGAGCAAGGUUAGUUAGCUCUCUGCGCGAUCGGAGGCGGGAGGUGGGUGUAGCGGGUCUAGCGAGGGGAGGUGGGGUGGAGGCGGAGCCUGUCGGAGUAUGAGAGAAACAGCGGCUCGUCCUACCAGUGGGGUGGCCGGUUGGGGCGAGGUAGCCGACUUAACCAACGGCCUCAUCGUGGCCGGCCAGCCUCUUGGACUACACCUAACCUUUUAGGGUGGGGUGGGGUAGAACUUUAGCUUCUGUUCGAGUGUUAGGGGAACAGGAGGACCAGUAGAAGCGGUCGAAACCCGGGCCAUGGAGGUCAGGUGGUGCGGCCUCCCGGCAGAGCCAACCCUUUGCUUCGGUGGUGUACAGCUGGUGACAUCUCAGCAGAGGUAGGGGGGAUUCCGUGACAGGAGCAUACUAGAUCUACAAAACACGGUGUACUACGGUUAGUACGUAGUAAGCAAAGACUUUGCGGAACCUAACUGGAUAGGGGUGUUACACUCGCCGCGGCUAAACUUCCGCGUUUCCUCCACGACCUCUGUACCCGCCUCUAUCACUACUUCCAGGAGGGGCCCCUACACGAAAGCCGCAUUAAACACACGAGGUCGAAGGCGUGGUAGUUUGGCUGGUCCUAUAGUGCUAUAGCGCCAAUGCACGACCGUUGUAACAGGAACGACAAAAGACGGUAGCGCUACCGCAGUUAAAAGUAAACCGUCAUAAAGCGACGACGGGUUUUGUUAUUGGAACGAAGGGUCGGUAGAAUCUGUACCUGGAACAUUGUGAAAAACAACAUUGAUUUAUUUAAAAACAACGACAUUGACAUAAUCCGAAAAUAACAUACCUUCUUAUAGGGAGAUAGAAACCAUCGUUUGAAAGUAAACAAACCUUUGUUACAUGUUAAAUACAGAGUCGCUUUUAUUUAAAUUAACAAUAGCUAUCUUCGUUUGAAUUC
rnacentral:rRNA from 1 species